UACGAAGGGGGCUAGCGUUGCUCGGAAUUACUGGGCGUAAAGGGCGCGUAGGCGGAUAGUUUAGUCAGGGGUGAAAGCCCAGGGCUCAACCUUGGAAUUGCCUUUGAUACUGGCUAUCUUGAGUUCGGGAGAGGUGAGUGGAAUGCCGAGUGUAGAGGUGAAAUUCGUAGAUAUUCGGCGGAACACCAGUGGCGAAGGCGACUCACUGGCCCGAUACUGACGCUAAGGCGCGAAAGCGUGGGGAGCAAACAGG
rnacentral:rRNA from 1 species